rnacentral:rRNA from 1 species
GAUGAACGCUAGCGGCAGGCUUAACACAUGCAAGUCGAGGGGCAGCGCGGGAUAGCAAUAUCCUGGCGGCGACCGGCGGAAGGGUGCGUAACGCGUGAGCGACAUGCCCGUUGCCCGGGGACAACCGGUGGAAACGCCGACUAAUCCCCGAUGGGAUACGAUGCUUCAUGGCAUUGUAUUGAAAGUUACGGCGGCGACGGAUUGGCUCGCGUCCGAUUAGCUGGUUGGCGGGGUAACGGCCCACCAAGGCUGCGAUCGGUAGGGGUUCUGAGAGGAAGGCCCCCCACAAUGGGACUGAGACACGGCCCAUCCUCCUACGGGAGGCAGCAGUGAGGAAUAUUGGUCAAUGGGCGGAAGCCUGAACCAGCCAUGCCGCGUGCGGGAAGGAGGCCCUAUGGGCUGUGAACCGCUUUUGCCUGGGGGCAAUAAGGGCGUCGCGCACGUCCGAUGAGAGUACCAGGCGAAUAAGCAUCGGCUAACUCCGUG